rnacentral:ncRNA from 1 species
AAGAAAAAGGCAAACCUGGUGAAAACCAGGGACGCAAAGUUUAGAGGCUAAGGUUUAUUACUAUGCCAGUCUGGCUGC